rnacentral:tRNA from 1 species
AGUUAAUAAGCUUUAGAAAGCUUUUACUUUGAAAGUAAAAAACUUUGGUUAAAUUCCAAAAUUAACUU